rnacentral:rRNA from 1 species
AUUGAACGCUGGCGGAAUGCUUUACACAUGCAAGUCGAACGGCAGCACGGGUGCUUGCACCUGGUGGCGAGUGGCGAACGGGUGAGUAAUACAUCGGAACGUACCCAGUUGUGGGGGAUAACGAGUCGAAAGAUUCGCUAAUACCGCAUACGACCUGAGGGUGAAAGCGGGGGACCGUAGGGCCUCGCGCAAUUGGAGCGGCGGAUGUCUGAUUAGCUAGUUGGUGAGGUAAAGGCUCACCAAGGCGACGAUCAGUAGCUGGUCUGAGAGGAUGAUCAGCCACACUGGAACUGAGACACGGUCCAGACUCCUACGGGAGGCAGCAGUGGGGAAUUUUGGACAAUGGGGGAAACCCUGAUCCAGCCAUUCCGCGUGAGUGAAGAAGGCCUUCGGGUUGUAAAGCUCUUUCGGCAGGGAAGAAACGCCCUGGCUUAAUACGCCGGGGUAAUGACGGUACCUGAAGAAGAAGCACCGGCUAACUACGUGCCAGCCGCCGCAGUAA